rnacentral:rRNA from 1 species
AGAGUUUGAUCCUGGCUCAGGAUGAACGCUGGCGGCGUGCCUAACACAUGCAAGUCGAACGGAGUUCUUAAGGAAUGCGACUUCGGUCAAAUGACUUUUGAACUUAGUGGCGGACGGGUGAGUAACGCGUGAGCAACCUGCCUUUCAGAGGGGGAUAACGUUUGGAAACAGAUGCUAAUACCGCAUAAGAUUACAGUACCGCAUGAUACAGUGAUCAAAGGAGCAAUCCGCUGAAAGAUGGGCUCGCGUCCGAUUAGAUAGUUGGUGAGGUAACGGCUCACCAAGUCGACGAUCGGUAGCCGGACUGAGAGGUUGAACGGCCACAUUGGGACUGAGACACGGCCCAGACUCCUACGGGAGGCAGCAGUGGGGAAUAUUGCACAAUGGGCGAAAGCCUGAUGCAGCAACGCCGCGUGAGGGAAGACGGUUUUCGGAUUGUAAACCUCUGUUUUCGGUGACGAACAAAUGACGGUAACCGAGUAGGAAGCCACGGCUAACUACGUGCCAGCAGCCGCGGUAAUACGUAGGUGGCAAGCGUUAUCCGGAAUUACUGGGUGUAAAGGGAGCGCAGGCGGGAUAGCAAGUCAGCUGUGAAAACUAUGGGCUCAACCCAUAAACUGCAGUUGAAACUGUUAUUCUUGAGUGGAGUAGAGGCAAGCGGAAUUCCGAGUGUAGCGGUGAAAUGCGUAGAUAUUCGGAGGAACACCAGUGGCGAAGGCGGCUUGCUGGGCUCUAACUGACGCUGAGGCUCGAAAGUGUGGGGAGCAAACAGGAUUAGAUACCCUGGUAGUCCACACUGUAAACGAUGAUUGCUAGGUGUGGGGGGUCUGACCCCCUCCGUGCCGGAGUUAACGCAAUAAGCAAUCCACCUGGGGAGUACGGCCGCAAGGUUG